CUGGAAGGUGGUCUGCAGAUUUAUGGUGGAUUUAUAUCCACUCCUUUAUUGUCAACCGAUACUUAGGGAGGGCCUCCUGGGAACCAUGCAGGAUGCAGCUGGACACACAAUGGGCAGAGAGAAUUCACAGCCUAGGAGAGGGAAACAGACUGACAAACAAGGAAGCUACAGUGUCACAGGGGAUGUGAGCGGGGGAGGGGAUGAAAGUGGAAGUAGGGGCUGGAGGAGGCCCCCCGACAGGAAGACGUGAAAGAAGAUCUGAAGGACAUGGGGCACCUAGAUGGGAGGGAAAAGAGGGGUUCCCAGAGGUACGGACAGUGUAAAGGCCCUGGGGUGAGUGCAGGCCUGGGUAUCUUCCAGGAACUGUGGAAAGGCCAGUGGAACUGGCGCAUGCCAGUUUGUGGCCAGGAGAUAGAGCAGGGGAGUGGGCACAGGACGUGGGCUGUGGGUUCCUGGGAGGGCUUUGGCUUCCCCUGUGAGGGCUGGGUGGGCAGCCGUCCAUUCUCUAGCAAUGCAUGUGGACGGCUGAUUGGGAUUCCCAGUUUGGGCCGAGAGCACUGAGGCUGCGAGCUGAGCGACUCUCACAGGCUCGCCUCCCGGCCUCCGAGGGCCUCCUCCGCCGGCGGCGCCCGCCCUCCCCCUCCCAGCUAGGACCUGGGGCUCCCGAGGCACACCCAGGGGAGCAGAGGCCCAGGUCAGGGCCGGCCCCCAGGACUCUCCGCUACAGGGCGGGGAGGGCAGGGGGAGGGGUGUUAUCGGCCUGGUGAGUGGUGUGCGUGUCCCUCCCAGGGCGCCGGGGCUCUCCCUGUGGGUCAGCGGGGCGGGGUCACAGUGGGGGUGGCGGGGGAUUCUCAGCGCCGAGGCCGCCGGUCGGUGCGCAGGCCCGGCUCCCGAGACAAGGGACAAGGUCCCGAGGUCCAGGGUCCCCGCGGCCCUCCGGGAGGCCGGCACGUCUUCGCCGCAGGUGCCCCGGGCUCUCCCGAAGCUGACCCAGUGGGGGCUCUGGAACCCCGUGCGCUGGGCCCGGGGGUGGGAGGGGGGAGGGGAGGAGGAGGGGAGGGGGGGAGGGGGGGGGGGAGGGGGGGGGAGGGGAGGCCGCCCCGCCCGGACUGGACCCGCCGGGGCCUCGCAGGCCCGGACGCCUUUGUCUCGCAGCGCGCGCGGCCGGACGCCGCCCCCCGCCCCCGCCCCCGCCCCCAGGGGCCCCUCGGCGGUCCUGCCCCUCCUUGGGCACCGCGGCGCCGAUUCUCCCGCAGUAACAUUUCCGCGGCUUCGCAGCGCUUCCUGCUCCCGGUGCAGAUCAUCUUCAAGGAAUCCAUAAUUUGUAAUGAAAUUAUUACUUGUUGAAAUGCUACACGGUGAUAAUAACACGGAGACAAGAAGCAAGUGAUGAUGGGGAUGCAGAGAAAUGGGCACCCUCGAGCAGUGCUGAUGCAGCCCUUCUGGAAGUCUGUACACUCAGAGCGCUGGAGAGGGGAUUGCCUCCCCCCCCCCCCGCCCAGGGCACACCCAAGGGCCGAAAGCAGGCGCUCCACAGAUCCCGGUGGCCAGUGUUCACUGCACCGGUCCUCACCAUAGGGAAGGGGUGGCAACAGCCCAGGUAUCCAUCAGCAGAGGAAGGAUAAACAAAAUGUGGUCCAUCCACACAGCCGAAUAUUAUUCAGCUUUAAAAAGGAAGGACAUUCUGACACCUGCCACAGUGUGACGAACCUCGAGGACACGAUGCUAAGGAACUGGGGUCAGACAGGAAAAGACAAGCCUAUAAUUCUACCUACAUGACACAUUUAGCACAGGCCAAUGCAUUGAGAGGGAAGGUAGAGGUUAGUGGGGGCUGGGGGGAGGGUGGGCCAGGGGGUUGUCACUUAAUGAGUACAAAGUUUCUGUUUGGGAUGAUGAAAAGGUUCUGGGAAGGGUGCACAUGGUUGCACAACGAUUUGAAUAUUCUCCAAUAUUCACAGUGCCACUGAACUGUGCACCUAAAAGUGAUUUUAAAAUGGCUAGUUUAGGGGCACCUGGGUGGCUCAGGGGCUGAGCGUCUGUCUGCCUUUGGCUCAGGGCGUGACCCCGCGGUCCCGGGAUCGAGUCCCCCAUCGGGCUCCCUGCAUGGAGCCUGCUUCUCCCUCUGCCUGUGUCUGCCUCUCUCUGUGUGUCUCUCAUGAAUAAAUAAAUAAAAUCCUUAAACAAUAAAACGACAAGUUUAAUAUCAUAUAUAUUUUACCACAAUUUUAAAAAUUAACGAUGUAAUAUACCCAAACCAUGGAGUCGUACACUUCAAACGGGUGAAUUGUAUGGUGUGUGAAUUGUAGCUCAACAAAGCUGCUGAAAUAUUGAAAGCAGUAAUAUUGGAGAGAGCGUGUGCCGGCGGCUCCGGGAGCGCGCCUGACCCCGGGAGGCCCACGGGGCGGAGGUGCUGAGGACUCCUGCGGCGGCUGGGACGCGCACCCUCUCCAUCCUCCCCUGCGCGCCGUGAGCAGUGCCUGACCCGGGAGCACCCCACCCGAGGCCGCGUCCGCGGAGAGGCGCACAGCCGCACCUGCUGGGAGGCAGCCAGACACCCCCCCCGGCCCCCUGCAGGCCGGCCCCACUCUGCCGCCUGGGCAUCCAGGCUGGAAGCCCGC
rnacentral:lncRNA from 1 species